rnacentral:rRNA from 1 species
AUACGGGGGGUGCAAGCGUUAUUCGGAAUUAUUGGGCGUAAAGGGCGCGUAGGCGGUCUUGUCGGUCAGAUGUGAAAGCCCGGGGCUCAACCCUGGAAGUGCAUUUGAAACAGCAAGACUUGAGUACGGGAGAGGAGAGCGGAAUUCCUGGUGUAGAGGUGAAAUUCGUAGAUAUCAGGAGGAACACCGAUGGCGAAGGCAGCUCUCUGGACCGAUACUGACGCUGAGGCGCGAAGGCGUGGGUAGCGAACAGGAUUAGAUACCCUAGUAGUCC